rnacentral:rRNA from 1 species
GACGAACGCUGGCGGCGUGCUUAACACAUGCAAGUCGUACGGUAAGGCCCUUUCGGGGGUCCACGAGUGGCGAACGGGUGAGUAACACGUGAGUAACCUGCCCACAACUUUGGGAUAACGCUAGGAAACUGGUGCUAAUACUGGAUAUGUGCUCCUGCUGCAUGGUGGGGGUUGGAAAGCUCCGGCGGUUGUGGAUGGACUCGCGGCCUAUCAGCUUGUUGGUGGGGUAGUGGCCUACCAAGGCGGCGACGGGUAGCCGGCCUGAGAGGGUGACCGGCCACAUUGGGACUGAGAUACGGCCCAGACUCCUACGGGAGGCAGCAGUGGGGAAUAUUGCACAAUGGGCGCAAGCCUGAUGCAGCAACGCCGCGUGCGGGAUGACGGCCUUCGGGUUGUAAACCGCUUUCAGCAGGGACGAAGCUUUUUGUGACGGUACCUGCAGAAGGAGCACCGGCUAACUACGUG